rnacentral:rRNA from 1 species
UACGAAGGUCCCAAGCGUUAUCCGGAUUUAUUGGGUUUAAAGGGUGCGUAGGUGGUGAGGUAAGUCGGAUGUGAAAUCUCCGGGCUCAACCCGGAAAUGGCAUUGGAAACUACCUUGCUGGAGGAUUUGAGGGGGGAUUGGAAUACUUGGUGUAGCAGUGAAAUGCGUAGAUAUCAAGUGGAACACCAGUGGCGAAGGCGAAUCCCUGGAAAAUACCUGACACUGAGGCACGAAAGCUAGGGGAGCAAACAGG